rnacentral:hammerhead_ribozyme from 1 species
ACUCAGCUGACGAGUCCCAAACAGGACGAAACGUGCUUCCUGGAU